rnacentral:rRNA from 1 species
CACGUAGGGUGCGAGCGUUGUCCGGAAUUAUUGGGCGUAAAGAGCUCGUAGGCGGUGUGUCGCGUCGGCCGUGAAAACCUGUGGCUUAACUAUGGGCUUGCGGUCGAUACGGGCAUCACUGGAGUUCGGCAGGGGAGACUGGAAUUCCUGGUGUAGCGGUGAAAUGCGCAGAUAUCAGGAGGAACACCGGUGGCGAAGGCGGGUCUCUGGGCCGAUACUGACGCUGAGUGAGCGAAAGCCAGGGGAGCAAACGGG